rnacentral:tRNA from 1 species
GGGCGAUUAGCUCAGUUGGUUCAGAGCAUAUGCCUUACAAGCAUAGGGUCGGGGGUUCGACUCCCUCAUCGCCCAC